UAUCUUAGAGCUUAGCAAAACACAUCCUAUUAUUUAGAGCAACCUUAAAAUGAGCAUCAGGAUUCAUUAAACCAUAGUUUCUUGAUGAUAUCUAGCUCAAAUAUCAUAAUCCCACAUGCUAAUGUAGUGAGAUGUUAAGCCAAUAAAAGUUCAGUGCAAUAUGGAAUUGCUUUGAUCGGUGAAUUUUACAUUGCUGCAGUAAUUGCUUUACUAUUGCUGUGAAAAAA